AAAUUGUAGAAUACACACACACACGCACACACACACACACGUCACACACACAGCACCUUAAAAUGAAUUUUCUCUAGGGAAACAACAAAAUGAACCCUGCACUUGGGCAAGCUAAAGAGCCUAUUUUCAGCCCUACUGAAUAUCAAGCAAAAGGGAGGGUAUCUGAUAAAAAAUUACAGUUGGAAUGAGGAGAUGACCUUGAGAGGACAGACAAGGGUUUAGCAUCACUUGUGCUACAGGGAUGGCAAAACACAUGAGAGCAGAAGAAAACACCAAGGAAGAGAAAAAAGGGAUGCAAAAUUUAAUUCUCAACUAACUCCAUGUUCCACAACUCCAGUGACACCACAAUGGAACAACACUUCAUUUUCAGUACCAUUAGCUGAAGAAGUAUUAAGGCAAGGUUGCCUUCUUAAUGAUUAUUUCAUGUGUUCUAUCCUCAGUACAUCAUUUACAAUAUUCAGGCUUGGAACAAAGUACUUUGAACUCUCCAGCGGCCAGUCAGAAAAUGAGGAACAGGUUGUGAAUAGAAGAUACAAAGGAGUAUUAGAUCUGCAUUGAUUAAAUGGUGACUACAAAUAGACUUAAAAUACAUCUUCCCAAUUAUGAAUCUCUACAGGUGGUUUUGUCCUGUUCACCCAACUGGAAUGGUUGCAUCGAAGCAAGAAAAUUUUCUCCAAAAAUUAAUACCCAGAUCUACGCCAAAAACAAAGUGAAGAAUACAGCUUCUGCUCUCACCAAGUCAUCUCUAAUAGAGAGAAGAUUUCCUUAAACAUAAAUAUCUUCAAAAUGCUUGUUCAUUUGAGAGAAAGAUACAGAAUAUUUUACAUGUGCCCUUCACUGGAAUAUUUUUAUUUAUUUAAUUCAAUAAAAAUUGACUCCCAGUUC
rnacentral:lncRNA from 1 species